UGCCACGUGUCCCACGUCUCCCAGUGGGAGACGUUGGAUGUCCCCCUGGCCAUUUAAUGAAUUUUGGGUCUUCUUCUUCCUCAUAACACCAAACAGAGAGAGCACACCAAACAGAGAGCACGAAAGGGGUUGCGAUUUUAGGGUUUUCAAGGUUGUGAUUUUGGUGGUGAGAUUUUAGAGAGUACUUUGCAUCAAAACUUCUAUAUCUAUCAAUCACACAUUUGAGAUGGUUAGGUCACUAUUAUAGGGGAAAUGCUGCCCGAUAUUAUUUAGGAUAAUAAACGAUUAGUUGAGAACGGGCAUUACUUGAUUGAACAUGCAAGUCCCAGGCAUUACUUGAGAACGCUAACAAGCACAUCAUAUACAGAGGCACAAAUUGAUGAGUUGCGACAAGAAUGGGCGACAUAUGUGUUGCCGAUAAUCCAAAGUUACCGACCUCGUUGAUAGUUUUUUUUUUAAUUUUUUA